rnacentral:tRNA from 1 species
UGGUGGGAAAACGGUGGAAAUUUUUCUUUUCACGACGAACAAACAGAGGACUGAAAAUCCUUGUGUCGGCAGUUCAAUUCUGUCCCAAGCCA